GAUGAACGCUAGCGGCAGGCCUAAUACAUGCAAGUCGAGCGCCCAGCAAUGGGAGCGGCGGACGGGUGCGUAACACGUAUGCAACCUACCCAUAACAAAGAGAUACCCCGUGGAAACGCGGAUCAAUACCUUAUAGUAUUGUUGUUCGGCAUCGGAUGACAAUUAAAGUUUUGAAACGGUUAUGGAUGGGCAUGCGUCCAAUUAGCUAGUUGGUAGGGUAACGGCCUACCAAGGCUACGAUUGGUAACUGGUCUGAGAGGAUGAUCAGUCACACUGGCACUGAGACACGGGCCAGACUCCUACGGGAGGCAGCAGUAGGGAAUAUUGGGCAAUGGGGGCAACCCUGACCCAGCCAUGCCGCGUGAAGGAAGAAGGCCCUCUGGGUUGUAAACUUCUUUUGUAUGGGGCUAAGGUAGUGUAAGAAUACAUUAUUUGAAGGUACCAUAAGAAUAAGCCACGGCUAACUACGUG
rnacentral:rRNA from 1 species